GACGAACGCUGGCGGCGUGCCUAAUACAUGCAAGUAGAACGCACAGUUUAUACCGUAGCUUGCUACACCAUAGACUGUGAGUUGCGAACGGGUGAGUAACGCGUAGGUAACCUGCCUGGUAGCGGGGGAUAACUAUUGGAAACGAUAGCUAAUACCGCAUAAUAUUAAUUAUUGCAUGAUAAUUAAUUGAAAGGUGCAAUUGCACCACUACCAGGUGGACCUGCGUUGUAUUAGCUAGUAGGUGAGGUAACGGCUCACCUAGGCGACGAUACAUAGCCGACCUGAGAGGGUGGUCGGCCACACUGGGACUGAGACACGGCCCAGACUCCUACGGGAGGCAGCAGUAGGGAAUCUUCGGCAAUAGACGAAAGUCUGACCGAGCAACGCCGCGUGAGUGAAGAAGGUUUUCGGAUCGUAAAGCUCUGUUGUAAGAGAAGAACGGGUGUGAGAGUGGAAAGUUCACACUGUGACGGUAUCUUACCAGAAAGGGACGGCUAACUACGUG
rnacentral:rRNA from 1 species